GACGAACGCUGGCGGCGUGCCUAAUACAUGCAAGUCGAACGCAGUGGGGAUGGUGGAGUAACACCUGGGUAACCUCCCAUCAGAGGGGAUAACCCUUGGAAACAGGUGCUAAACCGAUACUGAUGGAUGGACCCGCGGUGCAUUAGCUAGUUGGGGGGGUAACUGCCCACCAAGGCCACGAUGCAUAGCCGGCCUGAGAGGGUGAUCGGCCACACUGGAACUGAGACACGGCCCAGACUCCUACGGGAGGCAGCAGUGGGGAAUCUUGGGCAAUGGACGAAAGUCUGAGCGAGCAACGCCGCGGGAAUGAAGAAGGUUUUCGGAUCGUAAAACACUGGUGUUAGGGAAGCGGUAUCUAACCAGAAAGCCACGGCUAACUACGUGCCAGCAGCCGCGGUAAUAC
rnacentral:rRNA from 1 species